AAGCAUCAAGUCUGAAAGAGAUGGAGGUGCUCUCCACAAGGCUUAUCAUGGAGCUAUCAUGCGCUCACCAUCAAGCUUGGACCUUCUCUAUACUCGGUCUCAAGCUUGAGGGGGAGUGUGGAUGAGCUUGCAUGAUAAGAGAAGGAGCUGUUAAGCUCAGCAAGUGAGGGAUUCAAGUGGCGUGUGAAGAGCAGCCACUCCUCACCAUUUAUACAAGGGAGUAAACCUGAUCUUUAUCUCUUUAUAUACAUUCAUGAUAGGUUUAUCUUUUGAGAACUGAUACACUUGUGGAAUGAUGUAUCAGGUACCUUACUUGGAUUCUCAAUGAAGAGGGGGUGAUCUUACCUGAUGGAGAUGGCAAGAAGCCAUGAGAGAAGGGAAGACACAAACCGAGUUCAAGAAGAAGUCCAAGAAGAAUGCUGAAGUGAAGAGGCCGUGAUCCAGAGCCUAUGUGCCUAAACCUCAGUGAUACUAAGGCACAUAGGCUCACUGGCUAAUCCCCGGGCCUUGUUGGCUCUACUCUUUUUCCCUCAUCAAGGUUUUGUCCCAAAGGAUUUUCCUUGGUGAGGUUUUUAAUGAGGGAGUUCUUCAAGGUUCCAAGCUUGACUUAGGAUCGUCUAGAAUCAAGCUUGAGGGGGAGUGUUGACUUGAAGAAAGAAAUGGAGCCAAAGGAGGAGUUGGUUGAGUUUGGGUCUUGAUGAAGGAUAGGGCAAGAUCUUCAGAGAUUGUCUGUCAAGGCUUCAGGAGUGUUUAAAGAAGUCUUGAAGUGUCCUGAAGUCAGUGCAAAGAUAGGGUCAAGUCCAGGAGGGACUUAGACACCAUCUAGAGUAGUUUGGGCGAUGGUGCAAAGUUAGGGCGAGCGGUACGGACUGGUACGAAUCUGUACGGACCUGUACGGAUCCGUACGGACCGAGGUCGACCAAGAAAUGUUCAGACUCAACAAUUGAAGGAGAUUGGGAGUUCGUGCAAAAAUAGGGCGAGGUACGGACAGGCAGUCCGUACCAUCGACCGUACUUGUUCCGGAUCAACCUGAAAUGAAGCUGUGCAAACUUAGGGCGCAAGAGAAGACAAACCUGAGUUAUCUUGUGACUGUUUGUGGAUAAGGGAGAGCUAGGGCGUGGUCAAUGACAGGCUGUCUUUGAGCUGUAAAGGAAAAGCAGCCUUGACCAUGUAUCUAGCCAUCUUUGUGAGCAAGGUUCAUGGGAGCCUUAAGGGAACCAAUCAGGAAGCAGCCCUUGCCUUGACCAGUUUGAAUUAACCAAUCAGGCACCAUCAUCUCUCAUCCAAUCACAAGACAUCACGCAGAUUGCAAACUCACCACUCCAUCCUAGCCAUCCAUUCUUCAAGUGAUUUAUCA
rnacentral:lncRNA from 1 species